rnacentral:rRNA from 1 species
CAGUCGCCACGGGAAUACGAAGGGGGCUAGCGUUGCUCGGAAUCACUGGGCGUAAAGGGUGCGUAGGCGGGUCUUUAAGUCAGGGGUGAAAUCCUGGAGCUCAACUCCAGAACUGCCUUUGAUACUGAAGAUCUUGAGUUCGGGAGAGGUGAGUGGAACUGCGAGUGUAGAGGUGAAAUUCGUAGAUAUUCGCAAGAACACCAGUGGCGAAGGCGGCUCACUGGCCCGAUACUGACGCUGAGGCACGAAAGCGUGGGGAGCAAACAGGAUUAGAUACCCCGGUAGUCCCUGUCUCUUAUAC